UGGAUCCAGACUUUUGAUUCUGGCUCAGGACGAACGCUGGCGGCGCGCUUAACACAUGCAAGUCGAACGGACCAAAUUCUUUCGGGAACGAGGUCAGUGGCAAACGGGUGAGUAACGCGUAGGCAACCUGCCUCCCGGAUAGGGACAACGGCUCGAAAGAGCCGCUAAUACCUCAUGAAGUAAGAAGAUCGCAUGAUCUACUUAUGAAAGGCGCUCAUGGCGCCGCCGGGAGAGGGGCCUGCGUCUGAUUAGCCAGUUGGUGAGGUAACGGCCCACCAAAGCAACGAUCAGUAGCCGGUCUGAGAGGAUGAACGGCCACAAUGGGACUGAGACACGGCCCAUACUCCUACGGGAGGCAGCAGUGGGGAAUCUUCCGCAAUGGGCGAAAGCCUGACGGAGCGACGCCGCGUGAGUGAAGAAGGUCUUCGGACCGUAAAGCUCUUUUGUUGCAGGCGAAGGGUAAGAGCAGGAAAUGGCUCUUAUUAGACGGUAUGCAACGAAUAAGCCACGGCUAACUACGUGCCAGCAGCCGCGGUAAUACGUAGGUGGCGAGCGUUGUCCGGAAUUAUUGGGCGUAAAGGGAGCGCAGGCGGAAGGACAAGCCAGAUUUGAAAGUUCGGGGCUCAGCCCCGUGACGGAUCUGGAACUGUUCUCCUUGAGAGCGGGAGAAGGAAGCGGAAUUCCUGGUGUAGCGGUGAAAUGCGUAGAUAUCAGGAAGAACACCAGUGGCGAAAGCGGCUUUCCGGACCGAAUCUGACGCUGAGGCUCGAAAGCCAGGGGAGCGAACGGGAUUAGAUACCCCGGUAGUCCUGGCCGUAAACGAUGGAUGCUAGGUGUGGGGGGUAUCGACCCCCUCCGUGCCGGAGCAAACGCAAUAAGCAUCCCGCCUGGGGAGUACGGUCGCAAGACUGCAACUCAAAUGAAUUGACGGA
rnacentral:rRNA from 1 species